rnacentral:rRNA from 1 species
UGCAACCUGCCUUUAUCAGGGGGAUAGCCUUUCGAAAGGAAGAUUAAUACCCCAUAAUAUAUUGAGUGGCAUCACUUAAUAUUGAAAACUCCGGUGGAUAGAGAUGGGCACGCGCAAGAUUAGAUAGUUGGUGAGGUAACGGCUCACCAAGUCAAUGAUCUUUAGGGGGCCUGAGAGGGUGAUCCCCCACACUGGUACUGAGACACGGACCAGACUCCUACGGGAGGCAGCAGUGAGGAAUAUUGGACAAUGGGUUAGCGCCUGAUCCAGCCAUCCCGCGUGAAGGACGACGGCCCUAUGGGUUGUAAACUUCUUUUGUAUAGGGAUAAACCUUUCCACGUGUGGAAAGCUGAAGGUACUAUACGAAUAAGCACCGGCUAACUCCGUGCCAGCAGCCGCGGUAAUACGGAGGGUGCAAGCGUUAUCCGGAUUUAUUGGGUUUAAAGGGUCCGUAGGCGGAUCUGUAAGUCAGUGGUGAAAUCUCACAGCUUAACUGUGAAACUGCCAUUGAUACUGCAGGUCUUGAGUAAGGUAGAAGUGGCUGGAAUAAGUAGUGUAGCGGUGAAAUGCAUAGAUAUUACUUAGAACACCAAUUGCGAAGGCAGGUCACUAUGUCUUAA